rnacentral:tRNA from 1 species
GGGUCUUAGCUCAGCUGGGAGAGCAUCUGCCUUACAAGCAGAGGGUCAUAGAACUGACAGGAGCCU